rnacentral:rRNA from 1 species
GAGAAACCCGAAAGAUCGAAUGAGGAGAUUCAUCGUCAGCGUGAUUAGUUUCCAUGCGUUUCGCGAUGAAGAUGGAAUUUAUUUUAAAUUCACGCAUUCGCUGUGGUAUAUCUGAUUAUGUCGGCGUGCACUUCUCCUCUAGUAGAACGUUGCGACCCGCUGGGUGUUGGCUUAAGGACCAAGCUGUAGACUGUUUUUGUUCGUUUACGCGUUCAUUGACAGACACUUGUGUUUCUGGCUGACUGCUCGGCGGUACACACAAGGUAUUGAGCCGCACAUUUUGAAUGCGUUCAGACUCGUUUACAAGCUAAUUAUUGAAUAACUUGAGGGUGCGGACCUAGUGCCGUCCUUAAGGGUAGUUGGCUGUUGGUUAACGAUGUUCUCGAACUGCCUAAAAUUGAAUUAACAAUACCGGUCAGCGACGCUAUUGCUUUGGGUACUUUCAGGACCCGUCUUGAAACACGGACCAAGGAGUCUAACAUGUGCGCGAGUCAUUGGGAUAUAUUAAACCUAAAGGCGCAUUGAAAGAGAAGGAUCGACCUUGUGUUGAUUGAG